AGUUACAAAUAUUGUCAGAUUCAGCCUCUUAAUUAUGUCGGAAAGGAAUGGAGGGAUGGUGUUUCAGAUGCUGUCAGAUCAUUCGACAGGUUCUUCUGUUGAAGUAUACUAGUGCCUUUAGGGUAACUGGUUAUGGUAUGGUCAGGGUAAAUUUCCAGAGAAUUCAUGUACUGUAAGUACUGUAAUGUCCUCUUAAAUGACUAAAACAAGUUUGCGUAUGUUCACAUCUUACACCUGUGUUUGCAGCAGAAGUAAGUCAAAGUCUAACUCUGGGGGAACAGCAGGGAAAGAAAUGACGCGUAAGGUGGGAUGGACCUGAUUUAGGCUGACAUGAACAAACUAGUCUUCAGCCUGGACUCGAGACAGAUUUCGGCAUGAAGCAGUUUCUGGAGGGAGGGGGACACUGCAGGAGACGGCUCUGCCCCCUGCUGUUUCCUCUGACGUGUGGUGAAUGAGAAGUGGUCCCAUAAGCAGUAAAUCCAGGCUUGGGAAGAUUUAUGUGAAAAAAAGGAGACAAAAGACCCAAACCUGGAUUAAUGCUGGGGUGAAAAAGUGCUACUUCGACUCAUAACAUGAUUGUAAAAUAAGAACUAAUACUCUCUUCUGUCAAAGUCUUAUCUGUCUCAGUGGUAUUAUUUAUGAUUAAACAUUGUCUGAACUUG